AAUAAUUUAUUUCUGAUCAGGUGAGGAUCAGCCAUGUUUUGAGCACACACACACAUCAUGCAGUCAGACCAGACAGUUAAAGGUUAAAAAUAAUCAUGGAUCCUCAUUCUAGUGCCCAGGAUAUACCCCGAUGUGACUUAUGUGAGACCGCCAUAGUACAGAGCUACUGUGACUUUUGUCAUUUCAAACUGUGUAAGCUAUGUAUAGGAGAACACAUCUCUGAUGAAUAUUACAAACAUAAAAUAGUCCCUUUACAGGAACGAAGAUCAACCCUAAUUUACCCAAAAUGCCAAACGCAUUCACAUUCACAAAAAUUGCAAAUUUCAGUGCGAAGAUUGCAAUAACAUUUUUGUUUGUUCUUCCUGCAUAGCAUCUGAACAACAUGAGAGACACAAAUUUGUAGAAGUUAAAGAAGUUUACAAAUCAAAGAAAGAAAUCAUUAAAAAGGAUAGGGAAGAGUUAGAAAAUUAUAUUUCCCCAUCUUAUGAAGAAACUGCACUCCAAUUUGAAAAUCAGCUUGCAAACCUAGAAGGAGGAUAUGAGAAACUUACAUUGACAAUUACCAAAGAAGGAGAGCAAUGGCACAGAGAAAUAGACGUCAUCAUCAACAAAAUGAAAACUGAAGUCAAUGAGAUAAAAGUGAAACACAGAGAUAUUUUAACGAAACACUUAGAUGAAAUCAAACAGAUACAGUCUCUCAUAAAGCAAACACUUCUGGCCAUUGACGAAAUAGAGAAAUCUACUGAAGUGUCUUCUACCACUGAAUACAGCUCUAUGAUUAGAGAGUUCAGCAAAAUUCCACCAAAGGUUCAAGCAUCACUGCCAACAUUCAUCUCAAAACCCAUAGACCGCGAAAAGCUAUAUAAGUUGUUUGGACAAAUCACACCGUUAGCUACUGCUUCUGGAGAAAAUGAUCUGUCACUAAAGCAACCAAAUACUUCAGUCAGAGAACUACUGGAUGAGCCGAAGCUUGUCACCACAAUACAGACUGGGUAUAAAGAUUUACGUAGUAUUACCUGUCUGAGUGAUGGCAGGAUAUGGACGAAUGGAAUGACCAAUGAUAUCAAAUGCUUCAUUGUAGGUUCAGUCCUUUGGACAACCAAAACAAAAUCAGGGGAGCGCCCCAGUGAUAUAGCUGUAGACAGUGAUGGAGAUCUACUGUACUCUGAUAGGACGAAAGGAACGGUGAAUAAAGUAAAGAAUGGACAGAAUGAAGAGUUGAUUAUAUUACAGGGGUGGAGACCUAUUCAGAUGUGUGUAACCUCUACUGGUGAUCUCCUGGUUACAGUGUUCAGUGACGAUGAAACUCAAUCCAAGGUUGUCCUUUACUCAGGAUCCACUGAGAAACAAACAAUUCAAUUUGACGAUAAAGGUAAACCUCUAUACUCAGGGAAUAGUUAUAUAAAAUACAUCACUGAGAACAGAAACCAUGACAUCUGUGUCGCCGACAGUGUUGCUCUUGCAGUAGUUGUGGUAAGUCAGCACGGGGAACUCAGAUGGAGGUACACUGGUUAUCCCUCCGUAACAAAGAACAAAUCAUUUAAACCCUAUGGUAUCACAACAGACAGUCAGAGUCGUAUCCUGACAGCAGACAGUGACAAUCAUUGUAUCCACAUUCUGGAUCUGGAUGGACAGUUUCUCCGAUACAUUGAUAACUGUGAUCUGAAUAAUCCCUUUGGUUUAUGUGUGGACAAUGACGACAAUCUGUUUGUGUGCGAAUAUUACAACGGCAAUGUAAAGAAAAUCAAGUAUUUGAAGUAGACGUCAACAUUCAUGAGAAAUAGUGUAAAUAGAAUAAAGAUAGUCCAAAACAGUAAAGAAGAUCAUAAGAGGGAUCUACCUUGAGUUUCCCCCGUGGAGUGGCAUUUGAUUUACAAGACAAUAUUUUUGUCUGUGUGAAAAUAAACAAACUGAGACAGAUAAACUACCAUUGAGAACCAUUACAACGACUUACCGGGAAUCGAACAGUCAAACAAUGUAGUUCUUCAUCCUGCAGGGGAGAACGUUCUGAUUCUGGAUUAUAGAAAGAAAUUUUGUUUACAAAGUUGUAUAAAAUCACAAUCAUGAGUGGCAGAGAUUGAUCUGUGCUGGUGUAAAAUAUUUGUAAAGGAAAAAGUACCAAUACCAUGUAAAAGUAAAGUGUGUUUUAAUAGACAGAAAUUUAACCAAGCGAUGUUAAGAUUGCUUCAAUGCUUUUUUGUUUGCAUAAAAUUACAAAAAAUGAUUUGUCAAGAUCACAUGUACAGUUCUGAUGAUGUAGUAAACAUUUCAAGUGUUAAAAAUCUAUGUUCAAAUAAAUAUGAUUCAAUGCA
rnacentral:misc_RNA from 1 species